GAUGAGAACGUAGCGAAAUGCGAUAAGUAAUGUGAAUUGCAGAAUUCAGUGAAUCAUCGAAUCUUUGAACGCACAUUGCGCCCCCUGGUAUUCCGGGGGGCAUGCCUGUUCGAGCGUCAUUUCACCACUCAAGCCUCGCUUGGUAUUGGGCAACGCGGUCCGCCGCGUGCCUCAAAUCGACCGGCUGGGUCUUCUGUCCCCUAAGCGUUGUGGAAACUAUUCGCUAAAGGGUGCUCGGGAGGCUACGCCGUAAAACAAACCCAUUUCUAAGGUUGACCUCGGAUCAGGUAGGGAUACCCGCUGAACUUAAGCAUAUCAAUAAGCGGAGGA
rnacentral:misc_RNA from 1 species